rnacentral:rRNA from 1 species
UACGGGGGGGGCAAGCGUUGUUCGGAAUCACUGGGCGUAAAGGGCUCGUAGGCGGCCAACUAAGUCAGACGUGAAAUCCCUCGGCUUAACCGGGGAACUGCCUCUGAUACUGGAUGGCUUGAGUUCGGGAGAGGGAUGCGGAAUUCCAGGUGUAGCGGUGAAAUGCGUAGAUAUCUGGAGGAACACCGGUGGCGAAGGCGGCAUCCUGGACCGACACUGACGCUGAGGAGCGAAAGCGUGGGGAGCAAACAGG